UAAAAGGUAAGCUAAUAAAGCUAAUGGGCUCAUAACCCGUCUAUGAUUUUUCUCUUUUAU
rnacentral:tRNA from 1 species